UUCCCAUGUAAAUCCACAUUAAUUGGGACAUAUUUGCAAACCCUUUGCCGAUUUAAUUGUUUUAAAAAUUGAAAUUAAAUAAAGAUAUAAUAACUUUUAUUAUUGCACCCCAACAGGUGACGUAUUGUUAUUCAACGUUUCUUUUUAUUUUUUUAUGUCACCCUGACGGAAAAAAUUGUUAUUGUACGAUUCUUUUUUUAAUUUUUAUUAUUGAACACGUUUUUGUCCAGACUAUUUCUCGGAAUUGUAUGGACCAAUUAUGAUGGAACUUUACUAUAAUGUUAACCCUCUUGAUGCCAGAUUUAAAAAAAAAG
rnacentral:lncRNA from 1 species